GCCCGCGUGGCGGAAUUGGCAGACGCGCUAGAUUCAGGUUCUAGUCCUUAACCGGGUACAGGUUCAAAUCCUGUCGCGGGCACCA
rnacentral:tRNA from 1 species